rnacentral:rRNA from 1 species
UUAAAUUAAUAAGGGCGUACGUGUGGAUCACUUGGCACUAGAAGCUGAUGAAGGACGUGACAAACUACGAAAUGCCUCGGGGAGCUGUAAGUAAGCUUCGAUCCGGGGAUAUCCGAAUGGGGAAACCCACUUGCGGUCAUGCGCAAGUAUCAUUUAGUGAACACAUAGCUAAACUGAGAGCAACCCGCUGAACUGAAACAUCUUAGUAAGCGGAGGAAAAGAAAGAAAAAUCGAUUUCCCAAGUAGUGGCGAGCGAAAAGGAAAUAGCCCAAACCAGUCUAUGGACUGGGGUUGUAGGACCAUUAUAUAAGAGUUACAAAACUAUAUUAUAGUUGAAUUAGCUGGGAAGCUAAACCGUAGGAAGUGAUAGUCUUGUAAACGAAAUGAUAUAGACUCUUUAUGGUAUCCUGAGUACGGCGGAACACGUGGAAUUCCGUCGGAAUCAGCGGGGACCAUCCCGCAAGGCUAAAUACUCUCUAGUGACCGAUAGUGAACAAGUACCGUGAGGGAAAGUUGAAAAGAACCCCGGGAGGGGAGUGAAAUAGACAGUGAAACCGUAUGCUUACAAAAAGUUAGAGCCCGUUAAUGGGUGAUAGCGUGCCUUUUGCAGAAUGAACCGGCGAGUUAUUGUAUUAUGCAAGGUUAAGUUGAAUAGACGGAGCCGAAGCGAAAGCGAGUCUUAAUAGGGCGAUGAGUAUGAUGUAAUAGACCCGAAACCGAGUGAUCUAGCCAUGAGCAGGUUGAAGGUAAGGUAACACUUACUGGAGGACCGAACCGACGUACCCGGAAACGUGCGCGGAUGACUUGUGGCUAGCGGAGAAAUUCCAAUCGAACUCGGAUAUAGCUGGUUCUCCCCGAAAUAGGUUUACGCCUAGCCUCGUGGUAAAGCUUCUUGGAGGUAGAGCACUGAAUAGACGAUGGCGUCGUAUAGAUGUACUGAAUUUAAUCAAACUCCGAAUGCCAGGAAAGUAUACACGGGAGUCAGUGUAUGGGUGAUAACGUCCAUACGCGAGAGGAAAACAAUCCAGACCACCAGCUAAGGUCCCAAAUUUCAUGUUAAGUGGGAAAGGAUGUGGAGUUGUCUAAACAGCUAGGAGGUUGGCUUAGAAGCAGCCAUCCUUUAAAGAGUGCGUAAUAGCUCACUAGUCGAAUGACACUGCGCCGAAAAUGUACCGGGGCUAAACAUGAAACCGAAGCUGUGGAUUUUAUAGAUAAUAUAAAAUGGUAGGGGAGCGUUCUAAUUGCGACGAAGAUGGAUCGUGAGGACUGUUGGAGCGAUUAGAAGUGAGAAUGCCGGUGUGAGUAGCGCAAGAAGGGUGAGAAUCCCUUCCACCGUUUGCCUAAGGGUUCCUGGGGAAGGUUCGUCCUCCCAGGGUAAGUCGGGUCCUAAGACGAGGCCGAAAGGCGUAGCCGAUGGACAACAGGUUGAUAUUCCUGUACCACCUAUAUAACUGAUGGAGUGACGAAGGAGGCUAUAGAAAGCCAGUUAAUGGAUUCUGGUCUAAGCACAAAGGUGUACAUAUAGGCAAAUCCGUAUGUAAUGUAGCUGAAGUGUUAUGGUGAAGGUAAUAGCGAUAUUACUGAAAUUUCUAGACGCCAAACUUCCAAGAAAAGCUUCUAGGGUUAAUUAUAUAGGUGCCCGUACCCAGAACCGACACAGGUAGGCAAGGAGAGUAUCCUAAGGUGAGCGAGAGAACUAUGGUUAAGGAACUCGGCAAAAUGACCCCGUAACUUCGGGAGAAGGGGUGGUCUAGCGAUAGACCCGCAGUAAAGAGUCCCAGGCAACUGUUUACCAAAAACACAGCUCUCUGCUAAAUCGAAAGAUGAUGUAUAGGGGGUGACACUUGCCCAGUGCUGGAAGGUUAAGAGGAGAGGUUAGUAAUGACUUCGGUUAUAUUUACGAAGCUUCGAAUUGAAGCCCCAGUGAACGGCGGCCGUAACUAUAACGGUCCUAAGGUAGCGAAAUUCCUUGUCAGGUA